CCCAAUAUUUAGUCUUCGUUAUAGGGAGCUUGUUGGAACCAAACUUUCCCGUCAUACUCCCUAAAUUUACUCAAGGAUAUGAGAUAGGGAGGCUCGAUGCUCUAAGUCGCCUGAACGAUUGCCUCCUCAUUUUCAAAUCACACAGCUCUUGAACGUUGGAUGAGCAGGCUGCAAUUUGGGAAGGAAUGAUUCAUUUCUUAUGGUGCUGUGGGAGUAGAAUCUUCGUCUUUGAGCAAUUUACAAUUUUGUAUUGUUUGUUGAUUUACUCCAAUUAUGAGCUGGAUAUGAUUUUCUAUGGAGUCUGGUGUUGCUGUCCAGCCUGUCCUAUUAAAAAGGUUUCUUGAGGAAGAAAAUUGUGUUAUCGUUGCGUUGGAAGGCUACAACCACAAGCUGCUAGAGUUAACAAAACCAAACAGCAACAUUUUGGUAUAGUUUCGGAUUAUAUGCUCAACCUUGAAAUUCAAUCGAUGAUUUGCUAUGCAGUUUGGUGGUGUUGUCUUCUGAAAGAAGGCUUCCUUUUGGAGGAAGAAACUUGGAGUAUUAUUUCAUCAGAAAUCUACAAGCUGUUCUAGUUAUCAAAACCAAGCUAUGGAAAUGUUUGUAUGGUUUGGGAUUUAUAUUUCAUGCUGUUCAACCUUGAAAUUUAAUUAAUGAUUUGCUAUGUAGUCUGGUGUUGCUAUCUUCUGAAAGAUGGUUUUAUUUUGAAAUAAGGAAGUUCGGAAUAUUAUUGUGCACAGCCACAAGCUCUUCUAGUUAACAAAACCAAGCUGUGGACAUGAUUGUAUAGAUGUUGCUCAACCUUGAAAUGCAAUCAGUGAUUCAUGCAUGUUCUAAAGCUUUGUCUUUUCCGUAUUCUUUAUUGAUAUAAAAGAAAUGAUUCUGGUGUAUGCCUUCCUUUCUGAUUCAAGCCAAUGAUGAGUGAAUCCUGAUUUUCAUUUUUUUAUGAUUAUAAAUUUUUCUGAAUUUACUUUUUGAUCAGUCUUUCAUUUUGUCCUAUUUAUAUGGUGUAUUAUUUCAUAGGACCUUAAGUUUUCAGGAGUAUAAUGGUGUUAUUAUGUAAGAAAUGUUAAAAGAUUAUUGGAGUAUAUGUGUCACUAUUAAAGGAAAAUUCAAUUAUAUGAAAAGUAUCAAUUAGUUAUAAAAAAAACUCUUCAAAUAAUCCGUUGUAAAUGUGUGUGCAUUCACACUAUUAUUGAAUCUGACUAUAUCAAGUUUUAUGUUGAUAAUCUGUGAUAUUUCAUUAAGUUAGCUUGAUAUUGCAUCAACCUUUACUGUGCAAUUAACAGAGUCAUGUUGAAAUCUUUUAGAUUUGUUUUGCUUUCCUUAUUUGGGACCUGUCUGGGCUCUAAUUAAAAUUUUCUUUUAAAAAAAUAGAUAACAUUAGUAGUUUUUUCCACUGUAUUCUGAUGGAACCUUAUGGACUUCGUGCUGGAUAGAUACUUAUUUCUAGUGCUGGAAUAAAAGAGUUGAAAGUAUGAGAUCUGAGAAGAGUCAAUUAAGAUUCAACUUACUAGGUUUCAUGCAAUGAGUUACAUGGAAUGGUAUUUUUUGAGUGUCCAUUAGAUUUCUGCAUGAUCUCAAUUCUCAAAUUAUCUUUUUCAUGUAAGUAAUUUUAUCAAAACCGUGUAGGCUCCUGCAUCAAUGCUUAUUUCCGUAAUAUACUUAUUUUCAAUUAAUAUUCCAUUUUUGGUUUUGCUCUACAGGUUUGCAGAUUGCAUGAUUCCUUCUCUGUAUAAACUUUUACAACUGUCAAUAAUACCUUCUGAUGAGCAAUAAGCCAAAUUAUUUUUACAGGAGUGAUCAUCAGCACCGAAACAUAUAUUAAGAAAGAGGACCUGACAAGCUGGUCUGCUCUCAUUAAGUCAAGCAUAUUUAUUGACAGUAUUGGCGUAGGACAGGUUGUAAAGUGCUAUCAGAGAUUUACUUCUGAUAUGAACAACAGAAGCUGAAAAUUGAUUUGCACUGUUCUUUCUGAGAAAAAGUCUAUGGGGCAUUAUUUGGGUUGUUUAUGAGAAUAAGAAGUUUAGCACAGUAUUUGGAGAAAUCAGUCUGACUGAUUGGACGCUAACGUAUAUUAUGCUAUGACUAAUGCUGUCACUAGAACAAGCAAGCCUUCUAUCAUUUUUGCUAUAUUGUUUCCUGAUUUUACAAUUAGCUUAUUUUUGUCUAGUGUAAGACUUGAAUCUUUAGAAGUGAAAUCUAGCUAUUAUUGCAAAAUUAUGAAAUCA